rnacentral:rRNA from 1 species
AUGAACGCUGGCGGCGUGCCUAAUACAUGCAAGUCGCGCGAACAGACGAGGAGCUUGCUCCUCUGACGUUAGCGGCGGACGGGUGAGUAACACGUGGAUAACCUACCUAUAAGACUGGGAUAACUUCGGGAAACCGGAGCUAAUACCGGAUAAUAUAUUGAACCGCAUGGUUCAAUAGUGAAAGUCGGUUUUGCUGUCACUUAUAGAUGGAUCCGCGCCGCAUUAGCUAGUUGGUAAGGUAACGGCUUACCAAGGCAACGAUGCGUAGCCGACCUGAGAGGGUGAUCGGCCACACUGGAACUGAGACACGGUCCAGACUCCUACGGGAGGCAGCAGUAGGGAAUCUUCCGCAAUGGGCGAAAGCUUGACGGAGCAACGCCGCGUGAGUGAUGAAGGUCUUCGGAUCGUAAAACUCUGUUAUUAGGGAAGAACAAAUGUGUAAGUAACUAUGCACGUCUUGACGGUACCUAAUCAGAAAGCCACGGCUAACUACGUG